AGAUGUGAGGGCAAUCUGACUGACUUCUGUCACCCCAUUGAUCACCAGGGUUGAUUUGGAUGAUCUGGCUGGGUAGGCGGGUAUCCCCUUCCUCCCUCACAGCUCCAUGUGUGUCCCUCCCGAAGCUGCAUGCUCGGUCAAAGAGGAUGACCUUCCCCUCAUAGAGGAGGACCGGUCUUCGGUCAAGGGUAUGCGAGUAGCUGUGCUCCCAUGCAAGAACCUCCAAACAAGCUCUCAGUCAUACAUCUGCAUCUUGAGGUUGAUUGAGAGACAGUCAUACUGUCUGUGCAUACUGUCUGUUU
ensembl:misc_RNA 7SK 7SK RNA